UACAGAGGUCCCAAGCGUUGCUCGGAUUCACUGGGCGUAAAGGGUGCGUAGGUGGUCGGGUAAGUCUGAUGUGAAAUCUCGGAGCUCAACUCCGAAACGGCAUUGGAUACUACUCGGCUGGAGGGUUGGAGGGGGGACUGGAAUUCUCGGUGUAGCAGUGAAAUGCGUAGAUAUCGAGAGGAACACCAGUGGCGAAGGCGAGUCCCUGGACAACUCCUGACACUAAGGCACGAAAGCUAGGGGAGCAAACAGG
rnacentral:rRNA from 1 species